rnacentral:tRNA from 1 species
CAAAAUGUAGCUUAACAUCAAAGCAUCCCGCUUACACCGAGAACCUAUCUGUGCAACUCAGAUCAUUUUGA